rnacentral:rRNA from 2 species
CUUGACGAUCAUAGAGCGUUGGAACCACCUGAUCCCUUCCCGAACUCAGAAGUGAAACGACGCAUCGCCGAUGGUAGUGUGGGGU